CACGAACGCUGGCGGCAGGCUUAACACAUGCAAGUCGAGCGCCCCGCAAGGGGAGCGGCAGACGGGUGAGUAACGCGUGGGAAUCUACCCAUCUCUACGGAAUAACGCAUGGAAACGUGUGCUAAUACCGUAUACGUCCUUCGGGAGAAAGAUUUAUCGGAGAUGGAUGAGCCCGCGUUGGAUUAGCUAGUUGGUGGGGUAAAGGCCUACCAAGGCGACGAUCCAUAGCUGGUCUGAGAGGAUGAUCAGCCACACUGGAACUGAGACACGGCCCAGACUCCUACGGGAGGCAGCAGUGGGGAAUUUUGGACAAUGGGCGCAAGCCUGAUCCAGCCAUGCCGCGUGAGUGAUGAAGGCCCUAGGGUUGUAAAGCUCUUUCACCGGUGAAGAUAAUGACGGUAACCGGAGAAGAAGCCCCGGCUAACUUCGUGCCAGCCGCCGCCGUAA
rnacentral:rRNA from 1 species